rnacentral:rRNA from 1 species
UACGUAGGCAGCAAGCGUUGUUCGGAAUUACUGGGCGUAAAGAGUGCGUAGGUGGUUGGCUAAGUUUGGUGUGAAAUCUCCCGGCUCAACUGGGAGGGUGCGCCGAAAACUGGCCGGCUAGAGUGUGGGAGAGGGAAGUGGAAUUCCUGGUGUAGCGGUGAAAUGCGUAGAUAUCAGGAGGAACACCUGUGGUGUAGACGGCUUCCUGGACCAUUACUGACACUGAGGCACGAAAGCGUGGGGAGCAAAC